UACGUAGGGUGCGAGCGUUAAUCGGAAUUAUUGGGCGUAAAGGGUGCGUAGGCGGUUUUGUAAGUCAGAUGUGAAAUCCCGGGGCUUAACUUCGGAACUGCAUUUGAUACUGCAAGACUUGAGUAUGGGAGAGGAGAGCGGAAUUCCUGGUGUAGAGGUGAAAUUCGUAGAUAUCAGGAGGAACACCGGUGGCGAAGGCGGCUCUCUGGACCAAUACUGACGCUGAGGCACGAAGGCGUGGGGAGCAAACAGGAUUAGAUACCCCAGUAGU
rnacentral:rRNA from 1 species